rnacentral:rRNA from 1 species
AGCGAACGCUGGCGGCAGGCCUAACACAUGCAAGUCGAACGAACCCUUCGGGGUUAGUGGCGGACGGGUGAGUAACACGUGGGAACGUGCCUUUAGGUUCGGAAUAACUCAGGGAAACUUGUGCUAAUACCGAAUGUGCCCUUCGGGGGAAAGGCUUAUCGCCUUUAGAGCGGCCCGCGUCUGAUUAGCUAGUUGGUGAGGUAAUGGCUCACCAAGGCUACGAUCAGUAGCUGGUCUGAGAGGAUGACGAGCCACAUUGGGACUGAGACACGGCCCAAACUCCUACGGGAGGCAGCAGUGGGGAAUCUUGCGCAAUGGGCGAAAGCCUGACGCAGCCAUGCCGCGUGGAUGAUGAAGGUCUUAGGAUUGUAAAAUCCUUUCACCGGUGAAGAUAAUGACUGUAGCCGGAGAAGAAGCCCCGGCUAACUUCGUGCCAGCCGCCGCCGUAAGAC